CAGUGCAAGACCGUGAUAACUCCGAAUUCCAUGUUGUGCUUCGUUGGAGUAGGGUGCACAUGCGCAGAAGUCAGCGUGAGAAAAGCCUGUACAGGCACACAGACAACUGCAUCCAAUGCAGCCCUGCGUGUGGACAAGAAAGGCUUCAUUGCUGGACCAUGCCAUCAGCUUUCACUGCUGCAGCACCCGUUCAAACUCCUAGCUGACCUACAACGUGGAGCCAAUAAAACGAGGCCUGGUUAAUGUGACGAGCUUGGGUGAGCGGAGCAGAGCCACAAGAGUGACGUCGCGCCUUGCUUCUCACAAGAUUGGUCAGGCCACGGCUGCUCUGCAGUUCGACUUGCCUGUGGCUCACAAAUCUGUUCAGUGCAUCCCCAGAGUCAAGAGCAAGUCAACACAGUUCUCUGCUACUGGUACGAGGACGUCGAGAACUCUGCAGACAAGAAGAGCUGUGAAUCGGCCAAGUUCUGGCUCAGCUCUCAAGACAAUUUCAGCCCGUCCGUUGCUCAGUGCGUGCUGCAAGUAACACCAGAUGUCACUAGGAGUCCUUUGAAAAGUAAAGUUGUGAACAGACUUCUUUUGUUUUGUUGUGUCAUCAUACUUCUAUUCCAAGAUUGAAUGAGUGAACCUGUGAUUACUGAAUACUUCAAGCCAUGUUAAAAAGAAAAGAAAGCAUGGCGAUUCAGAGAGCUCAGCUUCGUUGAGUGAGAGUGAUUCAGAACUGGGGCUUCAGACGACAGUGAUGAGUCAUGGAUAGAAUAUGUCAGUUCUGUUGACCCACCUUUGUGCGGUGAAACCCACCUUUGUUACGGUUUUUUCUAAUAAACUUUGCCUCUGUGA
rnacentral:misc_RNA from 1 species